rnacentral:rRNA from 1 species
UGCGCAGGCGGCCUGAUAAGUCAGGGGUGAAAUAUGACGGCUCAACCGUCAAACUGCCCCUGAAACUGCCAGGCUUGAGUCCGGGAGAGGUAGGUGGAAUUCCAGGUGUAGCGGUGAAAUGCGUAAAUAUCUGGAGGAACACCGGUGGCGAAGGCGGCCUACGGGCCCGGAACUGACGCUCAGGCACGAAAGCUAGGGGAGCGAACAGGAUUAGAUACCCUGGUAGUCC